CCUACGGGAGGCAGCAGUGGGGAAUAUUGCACAAUGGGCGAAAGCCUGAUGCAGCGACGCCGCGUGAGGGAUGACGGCCUUCGGGUUGUAAACCUCUUUCAGCAGGGAAGAAGCGCAAGUGACGGUACCUGCAGAAGAAGCGCCGGCUAACUACGUGCCAGCAGCCGCGGUAAUACGUAGGGCGCGACCGUUGUCCGGAAUUAUUGGGCGUAAAGAGCUCGUAGGCGGCUUGUCGCGUCGGUUGUGAAAGCCCGGGGCUUAACCCCGGGUCUGCAGUCGAUACGGGCAGGGUAGAGUUCGGUAGGGGAGAUCGGAAUUCUUGGUGUAGCGGUGAAAUGCGCAGAUAUCAGGAGGAACACCGGUGGCGAAGGCGGAUCUCUGGGCCGAUACUGACGCUGAGGAGCGAAAGCGUGGGGAGCGAACAGGAUUAGAUACCCUGGUAGUCCACGCCGUAAACGGUGGGCACUAGGUGUGGGCGACAUUCCACGUCGUCCGUGCCGCAGCUAACGCAUUAAGUGCCC
rnacentral:rRNA from 1 species